rnacentral:rRNA from 1 species
GAUGAACGCUGGCGGCGUGCUUAACACAUGCAAGUCGAACGAUGAUCCCAGCUUGCUGGGGGAUUAGUGGCGAACGGGUGAGUAACACGUGAGUAACCUGCCCUUAACUCUGGGAUAAGCCUGGGAAACUGGGUCUAAUACCGGAUAUGACUCCUCAUCGCAUGGUGGGGGGUGGAAAGCUUUAUUGUGGUUUUGGAUGGACUCGCGGCCUAUCAGCUUGUUGGUGAGGUAAUGGCUCACCAAGGCGACGACGGGUAGCCGGCCUGAGAGGGUGACCGGCCACACUGGGACUGAGACACGGCCCAGACUCCUACGGGAGGCAGCAGUGGGGAAUAUUGCACAAUGGGCGAAAGCCUGAUGCAGCGACGCCGCGUGAGGGAUGACGGCCUUCGGGUUGUAAACCUCUUUCAGUAGGGAAGAAGCGAAAGUGACGGUACCUGCAGAAGAAGCGCCGGCUAACUACGUGCCAGCAGCCGCGGUAAUACGUAGGGCGCAAGCGUUAUCCGGAAUUAUUGGGCGUAAAGAGCUCGUAGGCGGUUUGUCGCGUCUGCCGUGAAAGUCCGGGGCUCAACUCCGGAUCUGCGGUGGGUACGGGCAGACUAGAGUGAUGUAGGGGAGACUGGAAUUCCUGG